GAAAAGCUCAGUUCUAUCCACAAGCUAAUUUCUUGAAAAGGUAAUGUGUGAAAUCUUUUAAAGACAAAGAACAAAGAACAAAGACAAGGCUGUAUCACUAAGACUAAUUGUUAAAAUUACCUUUUGCUUCAAGAUGGAACACUUUGUUGGAUUUUGCACUGAUUUUACUUAAAAUGACUUACUCUAGCUAUUGUCAGAGCUAAUGAUUCUAAAGUAGUUUCAUCUACUGAUGUUUGCACAUACAAGGAAUUGGUUGUGUUUUCCAUGAGAAAAACAAAAUGACAAAAUACAAUUUAUCUCUUUGAAACAUUCAUCCUACAAGGCACCAAUAGAGCUGACAGUGCACAAACAAUUUUUAUGUGGUCAUAACAAUAAUUUAUUCACUUCUCUUGUGUGAGUGGGUAAAUUUGGUAGGGAUGUAGAUGGAGAAAACCUGGCUCAAGGAUGACUAAAUUCCAAAAGAAGAAAAUACCAAGCAACACUUUAAGCCUUUCAUGAAUUUAUCUUGGGCUUCAGAAGGAGUUAGCAACACAGAUAUGGCAAGCAUGAGUGUGCUUGUCUUCUCAGUUUUACAGUCCCCCAGUAGAAGCGUCUAAGGCAUAUGUGGUUUAUUUUGACCAAAGAAGGGCCCACCCAUUUGUGGAACGGGCUCUCAGCAGCCACAGAGCAGAGCAGGAGGAGCCUAUCCCAGCACAGGCGCCUCUGUGAGGACAUCAGCACUGGGCAGCUGGUUCUCUGCCCAAAGGACUGGAUGAUUAUCUUGCUAUCUCCUUCAGUACCUGUCUGAUUUGAUUCUCCUGUUUUGCCAAGCCAAGUAAGUAACUAAUCUCUCUGUCUGGAGGAAAGCAUCUGUUUCAGCAGUCAGCAAACAUACCCAUGCAGUGACUCCUGCCUUCCAGCUUUCUCUCCAUACCUGCCAGUCACAUGGAACUUGCAUAUAUAAUAGUUUCUUGCAGUCUGAAAAAACAGUCUCUCUGGUUUGCUAUGUGCGGUUUUUGUUUUGUUUUGCUUUGUUUGUUUGUUUUAAAUAUAUAUAUAUAUAUAUAU
ensembl:lncRNA